UACGGAGGGUGCGAGCGUUAUCCGGAAUCAUUGGGCGUAAAGGGAGCGUAGGCGGCGCGGUAAGUCAGAUGUGAAAUCCCGGGGCUCAACCCCGGAACUGCAUCCGGUACUGCCGUGCUAGAGGAUUGGAGAGGUAGCUGGAAUUCUUGGUGUAGCAGUGAAAUGCGUGGAGAUCAAGAGGAACACUCGUGGCGAAAGCGAGCUACUGGACAAUAUCUGACGCUGAGGCUCGAAGGCCAGGGUAGCGAAAGGG
rnacentral:rRNA from 1 species